UAACCCCUCGGAGUGAGGAAUACCGGCCGGAGAAAUUGCCGACAAUACCGCAUGAGCUUCUUUGUCUGAGAGGAGAGAGAAGGAAAGUCUCGCGAGGGACGCUCUGGGAUGGGCCCGCGGCCGAUUAGCUAGUUGGUGGGGUAAGAGCCUACCAAGGCAUCGAUCGGUAGCUGGUCUGAGAGGACGAUCAGCCACACUGGGAUUGAGAACGGCCCAG
rnacentral:rRNA from 1 species